CCUACGGGUGGUUGCAGUGGGGAAUAUUGGACAAUGGGCGAAAGCCUGAUCCAGCCAUGCCGCGUGUGUGAAGAAGGCCUUCGGGUUGUAAAGCACUUUCAGUGGGGAAGAAAGCCUUGGGGCUAAUACCCUCGAGGAAGGACAUCACCCACAGAAGAAGCACCGGCUAACUCCGUGCCAGCAGCCGCGGUAAUACGGAGGGUGCGAGCGUUAAUCGGAAUUACUGGGCGUAAAGCGCGCGUAGGCGGUCUGAUAAGCCGGUUGUGAAAGCCCCGGGCUCAACCUGGGAACGGCAUCCGGAACUGUCAGGCUAGAGUGCAGGAGGGGAAGGUAGAAUUCCCGGUGUAGCGGUGAAAUGCGUAGAGAUCGGGAGGAAUACCAGUGGCGAAGGCGGCCUUCUGGACUGACACUGACGCUGAGGUGCGAAAGCGUGGGUAGCAAACAGGAUUAGAUACCCCAGUAGUC
rnacentral:rRNA from 1 species